ACCUGGGUAGCUCAGUUGGUUGAGCGUCUGACUUCAGCUCAGGUCAUGAUCUCGCAGUUUGUGGGUUCGAGGCCCGCGUCGGGCU
rfam:Felis catus isolate Cinnamon breed Abyssinian chromosome D1, whole genome shotgun sequence.